UUGAUCACGUGAUAUAUUCACAUGCUUUGGUGAAUAUGGCGGUUGCUGCUUGUGUUGGUGCGAGGUGACACUUGGAUGUUUACGGUGCAAAUGAAGGAAAGGAACUUCGACUCUAUUAUGUUUUGUUCUAAAUGGCUUUGACAAGGAAGGAAGCUUACAAUACACUUGAGUUGCCCAUUGGUGCUUGUGAAAAACAUUUAACAAAGAUGAAACCAGUUCAAAGUAGAAAUGAAUUAACAGAAGAUGAAGAGAAAGAAAGGCGGCGAGCUGAGAAAAGAAGAGCUAAGAAAAAAAGACAAAGAGAAAAGAAAAAAUUAGAAAAACUGGAAAAACAUCCAAAAGAGAAUGGAAACACUUCCCAAAAUAAGGCUAAAGAUUUCAGUGAUUCCAGAAAGGAGCAGAAAUCAAAGAACAGUAAUAAACUAUUAGUUUCAGAUACCACAGAUGACGAAGCAGAUUUUGACCCUAGUUCAGCAUUUUUUACCAAUAUUGUAAAUAAGAAAAAAAUGAAUCUCAAUAUUAGUGAACAAUCUCAACUCUCCAAUAAAGACCGCAGUAAGGACAGAUCAAUCUUACAAUCUCACAGUGCCAAGAGUGAAGAUGAUAUAGAAGAACUUGAUACAGUUGUUCUCAGAAGCCGCAAGUUAGCAAUUCGAGGUAAUGAAAUGGCACAAAUGGGUCAUUAUGCCGCUGCUAUAGAUCUUUUCACAGAAGCAAUACGACUUGAUCCAAGUGAUUUUCGAUUCUUCGGAAAUCGUUCUUAUUGCUAUGAAAGAAUACAGCAAUAUGACAAAGCCUUAAAAGAUGCUGAAAAGUCCAUAUCAAUAUCUUCAAACUGGCCAAAGGGAUUCUUUAGAAAGGGUCGAGCUUUGGCUGGACAAAAACAAUAUUCCAAAGCUGAAGAAGCAUUUCUACAAGUGAUACAAUUAGAUAUAAAUUGUGAAGAUGCAAGGCAGGAGUUACUGAAAGUACAAAUGCAUCAGCUUACUGAAAUGGGUUUUACAAAAUUGCAGGCUGAAGCUGCCAUCACACAGUAUGGAACAGUGCAGACAGCUUUGGAUUCUCUAUUAGCUGGAAUUGUGGCUGACAAUCUCAAUAAUGGUUUGGGUUCAGAAAAAGAAUUUUCUAUCAACAAUUUGAAUCACAUUACAAUAAACAGCUCAUGUUCAUCACCCAUGGAUACCAAAAUGGACCCAGCAAAUCCCGAAGGAUUGACAGCAUUGUGGGUAGGAAAUGUUUUACCUGAAGUGUCAGAAAAGAAAUUAAACCAGUUGUUUUCAAGGGAGUGGAGUGUGGUGGCCAAAAACUGUUGAUAAAAUUUCCUGAUAAUCCAAUAAUUAAUGUAGGAAAUGUCACAAUACUAAAAGCUUCUACUUCUAACAAUAGCAAAAGAUAUAUUCUAAUCACAGAC
rnacentral:misc_RNA from 1 species